GAUAAACUGGAGGAAGGUGGGGAWGACGUCAAGUCAUCAUGGCCCUUACGACCAGGGCUACACACGUGCUACAAUGGCAUAUACAAAGAGAAGCGACCUCGCGAGAGCAAGCGGACCUCAUAAAGUAUGUCGUAGUCCGGAUUGGAGUCUGCAACUCGACUCCAUGAAGUCGGAAUCGCUAGUAAUCGUAGAUCAGAAUGCUACGGUGAAUACGUUCCCGGGCCUURWACACACCGCCCGUCACACCAUGGGAGUGGGUUGCAAAAGUCGUAGGUAGCUUAACCUUCGGGAGGGCGCUUACCACUUU
rnacentral:rRNA from 1 species